ensembl:rRNA 5S_rRNA 5S ribosomal RNA
GCUUAUGAUCAACCUCACCAACCCGAGCACACCCACUAUUGUCUGAUUUUGGAAGCUAAGCAGGGUCAGGCCUGUUAGCACUCGGAUAUGAAACUGCCUGGGGAUAGCAGUUAUAUAUGCC